UACGAAGGGUGCAAGCGUUACUCGGAAUUACUGGGCGUAAAGCGCACGCAGGCGGUCUGUCAAGUCGGAUGUGAAAUCCCCGGGCUCAACCUGGGAACUGCAUUCGAAACUGGCAGGCUAGAGUCUUGUAGAGGGGGGUAGAAUUCCAGGUGUAGCGGUGAAAUGCGUAGAGAUCUGGGGGAAUACCGGUGGCGAAGGCGGCCCCCUGGAUAAAGACUGACGCUCAGGUGCGAAAGCGUGGGGAGCAAACAGG
rnacentral:rRNA from 1 species